rnacentral:rRNA from 1 species
GUGGCGGACGGGUGAGUAACGCGUAGGAAUCUACCUUUCAGUGGGGGAUAGCUCGAGGAAACUCGAAUUAAUACCGCAUACACCCUUAGGGGGAAAGGGGGCCUCUCCUUGGAAGCUCUCGCUGUUAGAUGAGCCUGCGUGAGAUUAGUUUGUUGGUAAGGUAAUGGCUUACCAAGACUACGAUCUCUAGCUGGUCUGAGAGGACGAUCAGCCACACUGGGACUGAGACACGGCCCAGACUCCUACGGGAGGCAGCAGUAGGGAAUAUUGGACAAUGGGGGAAACCCUGAUCCAGGCAUGCCGCGUGUGUGAAAAAGGCCUUAGGGUUGUAAAGCACUUUAAGUGAGGAAGAAAAGAUUUAAGUUAAUAUCUUAAAUCCCUGACAUUACUCACAGAAUAAGGACCGGCUAACUCCGUGCCAGCAGCCGCGGUAAUACGGAGGGUCCAAGCGUUAAUCGGAAUUACUGGGCGUAAAGCGCGCGUAGAUGGUCUGUUUAGUUGGGUGU